GAGGGUGUAGCUCACAUGGCAGAGCACGUGCUUAGCAUGCACAAGGUCCUGGGUUCAAUCCCCAGUACCUCCU
rnacentral:tRNA from 1 species